GGUUCGAAUAGCUAUUUUUUCACUGAAAGUACUUGACGACAGUCUUUCAAGUAGGAUGAUGAAAAUGCAUAUUUUUGAAAAAAUAUAUUUUUUGUGUGUGAAAACUAGGGUUUAUAGUCUUUAUACACUAAAAAAAUCUAGUCUGCCCUUCCACGAAAUUUUUAAUUAGAUUUUUUUUAAAUGUUUAUGAAUUUUCGAAAAUUCCACCUGACAACCGAUCAGACAAUAGUUUUAAGUUGAAUCAAUGCAGACAAGAUCAUUAACUGAUGCCCAUUAGCUA
rnacentral:lncRNA from 1 species